rnacentral:sRNA from 1 species
CUCACCGUUAAAACGGUGGGUUAUUAUCAACCGUCCCUCCGGGACU